CACUCCUGCGGGAGGCAGCAGUGGGGAAUUUUGGACAAUGGGCGAAAGCCUGAUCCAGCAAUGCCGCGUGAGUGAAGAAGGCCUUCGGGUUGUAAAGCUCUUUUGUCAGGGAAGAAACGGUGAGAGCUAAUAUCUUUUGCUAAUGACGGUACCUGAAGAAUAAGCACCGGCUAACUACGUGCCAGCAGCCGCGGUAAUACGUAGGGUGCAAGCGUUAAUCGGAAUUACUGGGCGUAAAGCGUGCGCAGGCGGUUUUGUAAGUCUGAUGUGAAAUCCCCGGGCUCAACCUGGGAAUUGCAGUGGAGACUGCAAGGCUAGGAUCUGGCAGAGGGGGGUAGAAUUCCACGUGUAGCAGUGAAAUGCGUAGAUAUGUGGAGGAACACCGAUGGCGAAGGCAGCCCCCUGGGUCAAGAUUGACGCUCAUGCACGAAAGCGUGGGGAGCAAACAGGAUUAGAAACCCCAGUAGUCCCAUG
rnacentral:rRNA from 1 species